UCCCAUAUAGUCUAAUUUCUAAGAUACUUGUCUCUGAGCAGCACAAUCAGUCCCGGGUUCAAUUCCAGAUGUGGGAG